UUUUAACCUUUGUGGUUGAAAGACCCCCGGAGUGGGGAGACCCUCACUCAAGUCUCGGGAUGACGCAACCCCCCAAGAACUCACACAAGACC
rnacentral:pre_miRNA from 14 species